UAGAGGAAGUAAAAGUCGUAACAAGGUUUCCGUAGGUGAACCUGCGGAAGGAUCAACCCCUGUGGGUAUAGUGAGAUGGUUUUUCCAACCCAACCCGUGCGCACAUCCAUUGGACUGGAUGCACGGGUGUGUGGUCUUCUUGGUGGGGAGGCCUGGUUAGGGCCUGACUUGGUGGGGGUGACUAGGCUGGACGGUGUACUGACAAAGCCGUUUUUCCAGUUAUAGAGCCGUUCCGGUCGGGCCCAAGGGCAUGUCCAGUCCCAUUGGUGGUGGACGCCCCUCCGUGGGCUCUGAGGCCUUGUCACCCUCAGUGUCCGUCGGAGUCUACAAAGGGGCACUUGUGCCCCGGCGUAACGUGGAUGUGUGUACAUACAUAUUCCGGUUGGCCUUGUGCCAACAACAUGCCAGUGAAGACGUGUCCUUGUCCACUCCAACGUUUUUACCUACGGGACAAGGCCUAGCUGGUCCGCAGGCGGCGGGAUGACUUGGGUUGGAAGAGGGGGCCGAUGUGUACACAAUGCCCUCCUUCCGUUGUGCCCAAUCGUCUGAAGUUAUGGGCCUCGACGAAUUGAUGUAAGUCGAGGGGGUCAUAUCUGUUUUUGGCCCGGCAUGGACCUAGACCUACACGCGGUGCCCCUGUUCUUGACUGAUUAGGUCUAUAACAUCAAGCUGAGUUUUCCAAUGGGUUUUUAAAUAACUCUCAACAAUGGAUCUCUAGGCUCUUGCAUCGAUGAAGAACGCAGUGAACUGCGAUAACUGGUGUGAGUUGCAUGGCACUUCUAAUCUAACACCAAGCGAAUCAUCGAGUCUUUGAACGCAAACGGCACCCUUCCAGUCCAUUCCAAAGCGGUGGCGGAGGAUGAAGAC
rnacentral:misc_RNA from 1 species